rnacentral:ncRNA from 1 species
AAAAGAAGAGAAUUCUCAUUUUAAAAUUUAUUACUGAUUUAUUUUACAUGUAAAUUUUUUAGUUAGUUUGAAAAAAAAAUAUUUUAAAAAUAAAUAAAAAAAAUAUUCACAGUAUUUAAAUUUAAAUAUUUAAGAAAUUAAGAUUUAGUAAUAUUAUAAUUAUUAACUAAUUUUGUGCCAGCAGUUGCGGUUAUACAAUAAAUAAAUUAAAUAUUAUUAGUGAUUAAUUAAUAAAAUAAUAAUAUUUAUAUAAAUAUAAUAUUAUUAAGUAAAAUUUUAAUAUUAUAAAAUAUAAAUAAUAUUUAAUUAUGAAUUAAUAAAAUUUUAUUAUAAACUAGGAUUAGAUACCCUAUUAUUAAAAAAAAAUAAAUUAUAUAAAACUAAAAAAGUAAAUUAAUUUUUAAACUUAAAGAAAAUGGCGGUAUUUUAGUUUAUUUAGAGGAAUCUGUUUAUUAAUUGAUAAUCCACGAAUAAAUUUACUUAAUUUAAAGUUUAUAUAUCGUUGUUAAAAAAAUAUUUUAUAAAAAUAAAAAUAUUUAAGAAUUUAUAUUUAAAAUUAAAUCAGAUCAAGAUGUAGUAUAUAAUUAAGAAUAUAAUGGAUUACAAUAAAUGUAUUUAUUUUGGAUUUUAAUUUGUAAAAAUUAAAUAAAAUUGGAUUUAAAUGUAAUUAGAUUUAGUUUAAUUUAAUGAUUUAAAAUUAAAAUAUGUACAUAUUGCCCGUCGCUCUCAUUUAAAAAUUGAGAUAAGUCGUAACAAAGUAGAGAUACUGGAAAGUGUUUCUGGAAAGAUC